rnacentral:rRNA from 1 species
GAUGAACGCUAGCGAGAGGCUUAACACAUGCAAGUCGAGGGGUAACGAUGAUUUAGCUUGCUAAAUCAGGCGACGACCGGCGCACGGGUGCGUAACGCGUAUGCAACCUACCUUAUACUGGAGAAUAGCCCAGAGAAAUUUGGAUUAAUACUCCAUAGUAUUGUUGAUCGGCAUCGAUUAACACUUAAAGUUCCGGCGGUAUAAGAUGGGCAUGCGUGAUAUUAGCUAGUUGGUGAGGUAACGGCUCACCAAGGCAACGAUAUCUAGGGGUUCUGAGAGGAAGAUCCCCCACACUGGUACUGAGACACGGACCAGACUCCUACGGGAGGCAGCAGUGAGGAAUAUUGGUCAAUGGGCGCAAGCCUGAACCAGCCAUCUCGCGUGCAGGAGGACUGCCCUAUGGGUUGUAAACUGCUUUUAUAUAGGAAGAAACGCAGAUACGUGUAUCUGUUUGACGGUACUAUAAGAAUAAGGAUCGGCUAACUCCGUGCCAGCAGCCGCGGUAAUACGGAGGAUCCAAGCGUUAUCCGGAUUUAUUGGGUUUAAAGGGUGCGUAGGUGGUCUUAUAAGUCAGAAGUGAAAUCUUGCCGCUUAACGGUAAAACUGCUUUUGAAACUGUAGGACUUGAAUUUAGGAGAGGUAGGCGGAAUGAGUAAUGUAGCGGUGAAAUGCAUAGAUAUUACUCAGAACACCAAUUGCGAAGGCAGCUUACUAUACUAAUAUUGACACUGAGGCACGAAAGCGUGGGUAUCGAACAGGAUUAGAUACCCUGGUAGUCCACGCCGUAAACGAUGUUCACUCGCUGUUUGCGAUACACUGCAAGCGGCCAAGCGAAAGCAUUAAGUGAACCACCUGGGGAGUACGUUGGCAACAAUGAAACUCAAAGGAAUUGACGGGGACCCGCACAAGCGGUGGAACAUGUGGUUUAAUUCGAUGAUACGCGAGGAACCUUACCUGGACUUGACAUAGUAAGAACUUUCUAGAGAUAGAUCGGUGUCUGCUUGCAGAAACUUAUAUACAGGUGCUGCACGGCUGUCGUCAGCUCGUGUCGUGAGAUGUUGGGUUAAGUCCCGCAACGAGCGCAACCCACGUCAUUAGUUGCUAACACUUCGGGUGAGAACUCUAAUGAGACUGCCUGGGUAACCAGGAGGAAGGUGUGGACGACGUCAAGUCAUCAUGGCCCUUACGUCCAGGGCUACACACGUGCUACAAUGGGGCAUACAAAGAGCCGCAAUACCGCGAGGUGGAGCAAAUCUCAAAAAUGCCUCCCAGUUCGGAUAGCACUCUGCAACUCGAGUGCUUGAAGUUGGAAUCGCUAGUAAUCGUAGAUCAGCAAUGCUACGGUGAAUACGUUCCCGGGUCUUGUACUCACCGCCCGUCACACCAUGGGAAUUGAACUCAUUCGAAGCGGGAAUGCUAAAGUAGCUACCCUCCACAGUGGAUUCAGUAACUGGGGUG